rnacentral:rRNA from 1 species
AGUGAACGCUGGCGGUAGGCUAACCCAUGCCAGUCGCACGGCAGCACAGUAAGAGCUUGCUCUUACGGGUGGCGAGUGGCGGACGGGUGAGGAAUACAUCGGAAUCUACUUUUUCGUGGGGUAUAACGUAGGGAAACUUACGCUAAUACCGCAUACGACCUACGGGUGAAAGCAGGGGAUCUUCGGACCUUUCUCGAUUUCAUUAUCCGAUUUCGUAUUUGCUAGUUGGCGGGGUAAAGGCCCACCAAGGCGACGAUCCGUAGCUGUUCUGAGAGGAUGAUCAGCAACACUGGAACUGAGAAACGGUCCAGAAUCCUACGGGAGGCAGCAGUGGGGAAUAUGGGACAAUGGGCGAAAGCCUGAUCCAGAAAAACCGCGUGGGUGAAGAAGGCCUUCGGGUUGUAAAGCCCUUUUGUUGGGAAAGAAAAGCAGCAGGUUAAUACCCCGAUGUUCUGACGGUACCCAAAGAAUAAGCACCGGCUAACUUCGUG